GUUAUCGUUUAUUUGAUAGUACCUUACUACUUGGAUAACCGUGGUAAUUCUAGAGCUAAUACAUGCUGAAAACCCCAACUUCGGGAGGGGUGUAUUUAUUAGAUAAAAAACCAACGCCCUUCGGGGCUUCUUGGUGAUUCAUGAUAACUUCACGGAUCGCAUGGCCUUGCGCCGGCGACGGUUCAUUCAAAUUUCUGCCCUAUCAACUUUCGAUGGUAAGGUAUUGGCUUACCAUGGUUUCAACGGGUAACGGGGAAUUAGGGUUCGAUUCCGGAGGGGGAGCCUGAGAAACGGCUACCACAUCCAAGGAAGGCAGCAGGCGCGCAAAUUACCCAAUCCCGACACGGGGAGGUAGUGACAAUAAAUACUGAUACAGGGCUCUUUUGGGUCUUGUAAUUGGAAUGAGUACAAUUUAAACCUCUUAACGAGGAACAAUUGGAGGGCAAGUCUGGUGCCAGCAGCCGCGGUAAUUCCAGCUCCAAUAGCGUAUAUUAAAGUUGUUGCAGUUAAAAAGCUCGUAGUUGAAACUUGG
rnacentral:rRNA from 1 species